rnacentral:lncRNA from 1 species
AGAGUCACCAAGAGUCACACACUCCACCAAGUAAGCUAGCCAGGUACUACCAUGAAAUAUUUUAAAACAUUCUAGUUGUUUUAUUUAUUUGUUUUUAAAUUUUUUAAAAAAGAUUUUAUUUACUUACUCAUGAGAUAGCCAGAGAGGGACAGACACAGGCUGAAGGAGAAGCAGGAUUCCCACAGGAAACCUGUUGGGGAACUUGAUUUGGUAACCCAGGAUCACGCCCUGAGCCCAAGGCAGGUGUUCAACCACUGAGCCACCCAGGCGUCCCUAUUUUUACAUUUUUUUUAAAGAUUUUAUUUAUUUGGUCACGAGAAACACAGAAAGUCAGAGACACAGGCAGGGGGAGGAGAAGCAGGCUUCAUGCGGGGAGCCCAAUGUGGGACUCGAUCCCAGGUCUCCAGGAUCACGCCCAGAGCCAAAAGCAGAUGCUCAACCACUGAGACACUCAGGCAUCCCCUAUUUUUAAAUUUUUAAAAAAUAUUUUACUUUUAGGUAAUCUCUACAUCCACUGUGGGGCUUGAGCUGACAAUCUCAAGAUCAAGAGUCUUAUGCUCUACAUGAACCAGGUGCCCCAUUCUGGUUGUUUUAGACUCACACAAUAUUUGGCAAAGCAGUAGUUCCUCAGUAAAGAUUUGUUGAAGGAGUAAAUGAAUGAAUAUUCUUUUUUGCUUUGUUAGUGUAACCAGAGUUCAGACAGUGAUUCUCAUCAUUUUGAGCAGGUAGAAAUGAUCACCAAGCCUGAUGAAUGGAUUAUUCUCUACAUCUGUUGGUGUGUUGCUGUACUAAAUUCCUGCUGAUGAAUCACCAGAUGAAUUUCAUCGACUUCUCAAGACAGACUUAUAAGGUAUGCAGAACAAAUAGUCAUAGUAAAUAUAAUUAUUCCCAUUUCUCAGGAAACAGAGCUAUUGAGCUAAACCAUCUCAUUCAGAAUCCUACAACUAAUAAAUGGCACAGCCAGGACUCAGCUUCAACCUUCUGAUUUCCAAAUCGGUGCACUUUCACUACUAUCUCUGAUUGUAGGAAAGACAUUUAAAAAAACUUCACUACUUAGGGAGAGGUCAUAUUACUGCAAUUAAUUCUCCUGCUUUCAUACCAGAUAAUUUGGGUUUCUAAUUACGACUUACUUGUAUAUCUUCUUUAUAUUAUACUUUUAAGACUCAGUUUAGUCCUUACUGUGAAAUAUUUCCUGCCCUAAGAAAUAUUGUAAGAAUGGAACACAGCUACUGAUCAAAUCCAAUACCUACAAAGCAGUACAUUUGGUAUGUAUUAAAUCUAAUAUCCAGAUACAUUAGUAUACAUGCUACCUUCUUAACUAACAUCUAUCUCUCAAUCUUCACUGAAAUUACUAGUGAAACUAUGACUAAUAAAAUUGGUUUAGAACCAAAAUUCA